rnacentral:rRNA from 1 species
CGUGUAGGUGGAUUUUUAAGUCGUGUGUCUAAGUGCGAGGCUCAACCUCGUAUAGGCGCAGGAAACUGGAGAUCUUGAGUGCAGGAGAGGAAAGUGGAAUUCCCAGUGUAGCGGUGAAAUGCGUAGAUAUUGGGAGGAACACCAGUGGCGAAGGCGACUUUCUGGACUGUGUCUGACACUGAGGCGCGAAAGCUAGGGGAGCGAACGGGAUUAGAUACCCCGGUAGUCCUAGCCGUAAACGAUGGGUACUAGGUGUAGAGGGUAUCGACCCCUUCUGUGCCGGAGUUAACGCAAUAAGUACCCCGCCUGGGGAGUACGGCCGCAAGGUUGAA